AAGACUAUACAUUCAGGGGUCAUUUCUAUAGUUUGUCACUAGAGAAGUUUCUCUGAAGGUGUAGAGCACCCGAGACCAGAAGGUUUGGCGUUGCUUUUGCAGUUGCCACCAGCCAUUGAUGCAAUUAAUAAGUGAUAAAGGAGCUGA
rnacentral:snoRNA from 1 species